rnacentral:rRNA from 1 species
UACGUAGGGACCAAGCGUUGUUCGGAUUUACUGGGCGUAAAGGGCGCGUAGGCGGCAUGACAAGUCACUUGUGAAAUCUCUGGGCUUAACCCAGAACGGCCAAGUGAUACUGUCGCGCUAGAGUGCGGAAGGGGCAAUCGGAAUUCUCGGUGUAGCGGUGAAAUGCGUAGAUAUCGAGAGGAGCACCUGAGGUGAAGACGGGUUGCUGGGCCGACACUGACGCUGAGUGCGCGAAAGCCAGGGGAGCAAACGGG